UACGUAGGUGGCAAGCGUUGUUCGGAAUUAUUGGGCGUAAAGGGCGCGUAGGCGGCUUGUUAAGUCGGCUGUGAAAGCCCGGGGCUCAACCCCGGAGAGUCGGCCGAUACUGGCGAGCUAGAGUACGGAAGAGGUAGCUGGAAUUCCCGGUGUAGCGGUGAAAUGCGUAGAUAUAGGAAGGAACACCAGUGGCGAAGGCGACCACCUGGGCUCAUACUGACACUGAGGUGCGAAAGCGUGGGGAGCAAACAGG
rnacentral:rRNA from 1 species